rnacentral:rRNA from 1 species
GGAGGGUGCAAGCGUUGUUCGGAAUUAUUGGGCGUAAAGCGCGUGUAGGCGGUUUGUUAAGUCUGGUGUGAAAGCCCUGGGCUCAACCUGGGAAGUGCAUUGGAUACUGGCAAACUUGAGUACGGGAGAGGAUAGUGGAAUUUCGAGUGUAGGGGUGAAAUCCGUAGAUAUUCGAAGGAACACCGGUGGCGAAGGCGGCUAUCUGGACCGAUACUGACGCUGAGACGCGAAAGCGUGGGGAGCAAACAGGAUUAGAUACCCUGGUAGUCCACGCCGUAAACGAUGGGCACUAGGUGUUGCGGGUAUUGACCCCUGCAGUGCCGAAGCUAACGCAUUAAGUGCCCCGCCUGGGGAGUACGGUCGCAAGACUA